GUGCGGUAAUUCUGGUAACACUGUAACGGUUACAUAAUGUUCAAAUUUCCACAACGUCAUCGGUCAUUGUUCAUUGUUCGAUUGUUCAGUAAGUACUAUUGUAAUUUUCAAGUCAGUUGCUUAAUACUAACUUAUUCACUGUUAUAUAUCUACUACACUCAGAACAAUAAAGAAACAAUUAAUAUAAUUAAUUUUAUAUACAAAAUAAUAUUUACACAAUAUGAUGCUAGUCAAAAAUUCUGACAAUCAUAUAGAUGUCAGAAUUGCAAAUGGGACAACGCCCUCUGCCCCUCACCUCCUCACCGCAAUCGUGGCAUAAACAUUUGUGCCCACACGGAACGCAGGCAUGUGUGUUCGUGGCUGCCAAGCAAAUUCCACAACUGUUUAUUUGUCGCGGUGUAAUAUCCUCAUUCAAAUUAGCCGAAACGAAUGGAAUAUUAUCUUGCUCCCUUCUCAAACGUUGUCCUUCCAUUUGCCCGAUAAAUGCGAGAACUUCGUCGUCAUCCUCAGAGCCUUACUGGGAAGAAUGGCGUUAUUAUCUUGAACAGCCGGAGCAGCCUCAACUACAGGAGCAGCCUCAACUACAGGAUCGGCAGCUUCAACAACGGGAGCAUUUUGCUCCUCACCAUCUCCCAAUUCUAAAUUCAUAACGGGCCAUGAAGGUCCAAUGCUGCAAUCAUGAGAUGAUUUCUUGAUAAUUUCGCUAUCCGGGACGGAUCGUCAGUCCGUCGCCUGAGAGGAGGAUGGUAUUUUACCGGACGGUUGCUCGCCUGGCAGUUUUAAUAUUUUUAUUUAGUACUAUUGUCGGUAUACCUAUGUUAUAGGCCAAGUGGCCUGUGUAGGAAAAAAUUCCUUAACAGUAAGGCGGCCUUGCUCCAGCCUUUCAGUCGCUGCUCUUAUGUUUCUGUCCUGCUGCACAUACAGUGGACGACGUGGCCGUAAGGUGGGGCGCUCCAACUGUUGAUAUUUUUGGCUAUAAAUACCCUCAAUUUUCAGGAGUACCUCUGUAAAAAAAAUUUAAAAAAAUUAUUUCUAUAACUAAUUAACUAUUUUGUAGCAAGUAUUUCGAUUUACUUGUAUAAUUCCAAAUUCCCGGUCUUGUUGUAUUCAUUUGUUGGUUUAAAAUUCUGUGAAAGACCUCCUGAUCAUUGUUUGUCCUCCUGGCCUGUCCGUAAACACUAAAAUUCUGCGCACCGGUUCCUAUAUUUUUUUUAACCCCAGAGCAUUUCAUAUACAUAAAAAUAAAAUCAGUAUUUUGGAAUCGAGAGCGUUUUAAAAGUUUAUAGCUGUGAUUGCCGGAGAGAUGGCGACUUCUUUUAACCAGACGAUUUUUUGCCCGGCAACAGUGAGUGCCAAACACACUAAUGCCUUACCCACUCAGCCAUUUCCUCUCCACUAUGUACAAAGAUGUACGCAUUUCACUUUUAUGUUAGUAUUGAGAGAAAAUCAAACAAAAUCAAAUUGUACUGUUUUCUAAGGUUUGCAGUACUAAACACUUACGGUUCAUCCACUGGUUCUCGAAGUAAUUAAUAUAUCGACGAGCUAUUUGUUCGUUUUCCGCAUGACUACUCUCUUCUUGGAUCAGGUUAAAACCCUCGGCUAUGUGCUCGACCGGUAAAAGGGCCAGAGCCUUCGACAUGCGGAACAUGUUAUGCAAUGCCAAGUCAUUACUAUAUUCACGUCGCCGCAUCCCAAACUCUUUACCAUUUUUUUCAAGUGCCUAUAAAUUACCAUAAACAUUUUUAAAUGGCAACACACGAUGCUAUAUUUUAUAGCACCGGAAAUGAUGAGAGAAUUAUUAAAAACAUUUUUCAUACUUGCACCAUGUGGAACCAACACCGCUGCAGGUUGGCAGCUGGCAGAGUAUUCCUCAGUGCAUUGGUUAAUGCGGUUUCAUAGUCAGUAAUGAUGUUUGUGGCUUGAAUACCGCCUGGAAU